rnacentral:tRNA from 1 species
CGGAGCGUAGCGCAGUUUGGUAGCGCGUCCCGCUUGGGACGGGAAGGUCGCAGGUUCAAAUCCUGCCGUUCCGA